rnacentral:rRNA from 1 species
GUGCCAGCAGCCGCGGUAAUACGGAGGGAGCUAGCGUUGUUCGGAAUUACUGGGCGUAAAGCGCACGUAGGCGGCUUUGUAAGUUAGAGGUGAAAGCCUGGAGCUCAACUCCAGAAUUGCCUUUAAGACUGCAUCGCUCGAAUCCAGGAGAGGUGAGUGGAAUUCCGAGUGUAGAGGUGAAAUUCGUAGAUAUUCGGAGGAACACCAGUGGCGAAGGCGGCUCACUGGACUGGUAUUGACGCUGAGGUGCGAAAGCGUGGGGAGCAAACA